rnacentral:rRNA from 1 species
UACUAGAGUAGCACUCGCAUAUCAAUAAGCGGAGGAAAAGAAACUAACAAGGAUUCCCCUAGUAACGGCGAGUGAAGCGGGAAGAGCUCAAAUUUGAAAUCUUAAAGGGUUUCCCUUUACGAAUUGUAGUUUAAAGAAGUGUCUUCUGUUGAGGUUUUGGUAAAAGUUCUUUGGAAUAGGACAUCAUAGAGGGUGAGAAUCCCGUAUUUGACCUUUACUUUCAACUUUGUGAUACACUUUCAAAGAGUCGGAUUGUUUGGGAAUGCAGUCCAAAAUGGGUGGUAAAUUUCAUCUAAAGCUAAAUAUUGGCGAGAGACCGAUAGCGAACAAGUACCGUGAGGGAAAGAUGAAAAGAACUUUGAAAAGAGAGUUAAACAGUACGUGAAAUUGUCAAAAGGGAAGCGUUUGACACCAGUGUUGUUUUUCUGAAAAUCAAUUAAAGAACUGUUUAUGCUAAGUUGUUUAGACUUUAUCAGCUAUCUGUUUAGUUUUGAGCUUUUCUUUAAUGCACUUUUCAGUUAACAAGUCAACAUCAAUUUCUUUUGCUGUAAAAAAGCUUGAGGAAGGUGGCUUGAGAUUCGUCUUAAGUGUUUAUAGCCUCUUGCCUAUGCAGUCGGAGAGAUUGAGGUCUGCAGCGUAGAUCCUUCGGGGCUAAAUGCAUUUGUGCUAAGUUAUAGCAUUUUAUAGACAACUUGUUGACUAUGAUUUGUCUUGUAGCUUACUCGCUUAUGUUAUUUUACCUACGCUUAGGAUGUUGAACUACUGAGACAUAGA